rnacentral:lncRNA from 1 species
GGCUCCAGCCACAAAUACCAGUUGCCCCUAGUUAGGAAUAUAUCGUGCUCUCUUUCCUCUUCUCCUGAAAACACUUCCUUAAAUCCACUUCACUCCUAAAACCCUCACUACACUACCCCUGGGCCAAGGGAGUUCCCCUUCCUUGAAAUAAAACUACCUCAUCUGCGAAUUCAAUUGUGCAUUCAUUUUUAGUAAAUGUGGUCUUAUAAGAUACCACAAGUGAGGAUGUUGUGGGAAAGCCAAAUGAUCAAUUUCUGAAGAAAAAAGUCCGUCACAUAUAGACAAAGGCCCAAAUUCAAAUA